GUCGGAAGGAAGGGGGUUCGAUCCCCUCCAGCUCCACC
rnacentral:sRNA from 1 species